AAGUCGUAACAAGGUUUCCGUAGGUGAACCUGCGGAAGGAUCAUUAUUGAAUAUUCCUGAUGAGUUGUAGCUGGCUCUGUGGAGCAUGUGCACGCUUGUCUUGAUCUUAUUCAUCCACCUGUGCACAUUUUGUAGUCUUGGGGGCUGAGUCGAGUAUCGGAUGGAUGUCUAUCCGGAUGUGAGAACUGCAGAGUGCGAAAGCACUACGGCUCUUCUCUGUUUGACCUCACCCUCGAGUACUAUGUAUUCAUAUACCACAUAGCAUGUUGUAGAAUGCGAUCAUUGGGCCUUUGUGCCUAUAAUAAUCAUAUACAACUUUCAGCAACGGAUCUCUUGGCUCUC
rnacentral:misc_RNA from 1 species